rnacentral:rRNA from 1 species
GUGGGGAAUAUUGGACAAUGGGCGCAAGCCUGAUCCAGCCAUGCCGCGUGCAGGAAGACGCAUCUAUGGUGUGUAAACUGCUUUUGUACGGGAAGAAACACUCCCUCGUGAGGGAGCUUGACGGUACCGUAAGAAUAAGGAUCGGCUAACUCCGUGCCAGCAGCCGCGGUAAUACGGAGGAUCCAAGCGUUAUCCGGAAUCAUUGGGUUUAAAGGGUCCGUAGGCGGUUUAAUAAGUCAGUGGUGAAAGCCCAUCGCUCAACGAUGGAACGGCCAUUGAUACUGUUAGACUUGAAUUACAAGGAAGUAACUAGAAUAUGUAGUGUAGCGGUGAAAUGCUUAGAUAUUACAUGGAAUACCAAUUGCGAAGGCAGGUUACUACUUGUGGAUUGACGCUGAUGGACGAAAGCGUGGGGAGCGAACAGGAUUAGAUACCCUAGUAGUCC